GUCGUGAUGUCCGAGUGGUUUAAGGAGUAGGACUUGAAUCUUGAACAAUUCGCUAUCCUAUGGGUUCGCCCGCGUAGGUUCGAACCCUGCUCACGACG